GGAAGUAAACGUCGUAACAAGGUUUCCGUAGGUGAACCUGCGGAAGGAUCAUUAUUGUAUAAUCGAGGUGCGAGGGCUGUCGCUGACCCGAAAGGUCGUGCACGCCCGAGUGCCCUCACACACAUCCAUCUCACCCCUAUGUGCACCACCGCGUGGGUCCCCCUUUGGCUUGUUCGGAGGGGGGCUUACGUUUUCACACAAACUUUGUAUGCAGUGUAGAAUGUAUUUUUUGUUUUUGCGAUCACGCAAUCAAUACAACUUUCAACAACGGAUCCCUUGGCUCUC
rnacentral:misc_RNA from 1 species